GUGGGGAAUAUUGGACAAUGGGGGGAACCCUGAUCCAGCCAUGCCGCGUGUGUGAAGAAGGCCUUUUGGUUGUAAAGCACUUUAAGCGAGGAGGAGGCUACCGAGAUUAAUACUCUUGGAUAGUGGACGUUACUCGCAGAAUAAGCACCGGCUAACUCUGUGCCAGCAGCCGCGGUAAUACAGAGGGUGCAAGCGUUAAUCGGAUUUACUGGGCGUAAAGCGCGCGUAGGUGGCCAAUUAAGUCAAAUGUGAAAUCCCCGAGCUUAACUUGGGAAUUGCAUUCGAUACUGGGUGGCUAGAGUAUGGGAGAGGAUGGUAGAAUUCCAGGUGUAGCGGUGAAAUGCGUAGAGAUCUGGAGGAAUACCGAUGGCGAAGGCAGCCAUCUGGCCUAAUACUGACACUGAGGUGCGAAAGCAUGGGGAGCAAACAGGAUUAGAUACCCGAGUAGUCC
rnacentral:rRNA from 1 species